rnacentral:tRNA from 170 species
CGGAUGUAGCCAAGUGGAUCAAGGCAG